rnacentral:rRNA from 1 species
UACGUAGGGGGGCUAGCGUUGUCCGGAAUCAUUGGGCGUAAAGCGCGCGUAGGCGGCCCGGUAAGUCCGCUGUAAAAGUCAAAGGCUCAACCUUUGAAUGUCAGUGGAUACUGCCGGGCUAGAGUCCGGAAGAGGCGAGUGGAACUCCUGGUGUAGCGGUGGAAUGCGCAGAUAUCAGGAAGAACACCGACGGCGAAGGCAGCUCGCUGGGACGGUACUGACGCUGAGACGCGAAAGCGUGGGGGAGCAAACAGG